UAUGAUCACUAUUCUUGAGACCAUGUUCUUGUUUCAAGAUAAUAGCUCGUUACUGUUUGCAAUUAUUUUAGAAGAAAGAUAUAUUCAAAGAUGUAGAGCCCACCUCAAUUGAUCUAUUCAAGAACUUCCAUUGUGGCAAAAAAAAUGGAUUUACCGAGUCUGUACAGAAAGCAAUUGAUGAUAUGGAAGGCAUUAUGAGUGAACCAGUACAAGAUGGAGAGGAACCAAAGUCAGCAAAAGAAGUUGUUUCUCAGGUUGUCAAAUCAACUACUUUUCUUCGUGUUGCAGGUGUUUGUUCAGCCUCCAAGAGUACCUCUAGAGGUGCAAUAUCAUCACAGGUCCACGAUCUUCAGGUUGAGCUUGAGAAUGAGAAGCAAGAAAAAGGAGAACUUCGACAAGAGUUGGAUAAUUUGAAGAUGGAAU